CCCCGUCACCACUGCCAUUCCUGUGAGUUAAAUGUGUGUCCCUGCUAAGACGUAACUGCAUCCUGAGAUACAGGAGGCUGAACACAAUAAUUUCUUAUUAGCCACUCACAUUCUAGUAUGAAUCAGUACAGUUUCCUUCCCCUGCCUGAUACAUAGGUGAGAGGGGUUUUAGCUGGAAUGUGUGCUUACAGCAGUAUUUCUCAAUUGUGAUUCCCACAUAUAAUUAACUAGAAUUUCCUGGACUAUCUGUAAAAAAGAGAUUCCUGGAAAACUUCUGCUUUGCAACCUUGCCUCAAGCCAGUCCCAUACUUCUAUUUCCAGGGUGAAAACAGUCCCAUCAGAAACAAAUAGAAAUCAUAACCCUAGGAGGUUUAAGACUUUCCAAAUGAAACAUUAAUUUGAAUAAACAAACAAGAAGCUCUGAGGCCAAAUCAACUUCCUCUCUUCAGAAAUUUCCAGCCUUUCUGCCCAUGCUGCUUAAUUGGGAAGCACAGUCAUUUGCCCCCACUGGAGUAUGGGGGUUAUGUGGGGUUUGGGGUUUAUGGGUGCUGUAGACACAACAGACUUCUAUUUCUGGUAAAUGUCAGCUGGAAAAGCAACUUUGUAUCCCAGACACUCCCCCUGCCCCAACCACUGCCCAGAGAGUUCUCCCUGAGAGAAGCUGAAUCACAAGAGAAUGGAGGCUCCUUCCCUGACUCCAGCCAAAGGUUCCCUGUCCCCAGCAGGCCUUCAGACACUCUGGGUUUCAGGAACUGGUUGCAGAACCGCCCGUUUGUUAGUGAUGCCCACCUUGACCCUUGACAGGACUCUCACAAGGUGACUCCGGUCUGGACACCCCCAUGCUAUGGAUAUACCUACUUAUACAAGAAUUAAGGUUUUUGCAAUCUGACAAUGACACUUUCAUAUUGGGCACCUACUUUCAAAAGCAUUCUCACCACCCAAACUGCCAGCGACGGAAGAGAACUAAAAAGUCUGCUCAGAUAUUACAAAGUACAACAGAAGCCAUGAGAAACAACCGGAUCUACUACUCAAGUGUCCCUGGUGUCUGCCAAACAGUCUUCAUCUCCCCAGGACCCUGCCCGAGUGUUGGAUACUUACAUAAAAACCCGUCAACUACAUAUUUUGAGAAAUCAUUCACACAGUAUUCUGGAACAUUUCUCAAAUACACCAGACUUUAUACAAAUUCAUCUCUAAGAAGCCAAUUUCACCUCUUCGUGUACUCUUUGACUGAAAGAAACUUCCUAAGCCUAAAUAUUUUUAUAUACAGAAUAUAUUGUAUUGAGUUACAAUUUAUAUACAUUCACAGAUGUUAAUCAUAUGAUGCUAUGAGUUUUUUCCACAUAUAUAUUAACCUGUAUAACCAAUGCCUCAGUGAAGGUAUAGAACAUGUCCGUUCCCCCUAAAAGCUCCCCCAUGCCCACCUGUACUAGUUACGUCUUGUCUUGCUCAAUAACAAGCUACCCCCUAAAACUUAGCAAUGUCAAAUAACAAGCUUUCUGUUUUAUUAUCUCACAUGGCUGCUGAGGGUCAGGAGUCUGGGUGUGGCCUGGCUGGGUGGUUCUGGCUCAGCAUUUAUCGUGAAGCUUCAGUCAAGCUGGGGACAGGACCACAGGCUCUGGGGAACUUGACUGGUGCUGAAGGAUUCACUUCCAAGCUCACUUAGUUAUUGGCAAGAAGUUAAUUUCUUACCAUGUUGGCCUCUCCUUAGGGAUGUUCAUGACAUGAUCCAGAGUAGUGGAGAGAACGAGAGAGAGGGAGAGGGAAGGAGAAAGAGAGAGAGAGAAAGAGAGAGAGAAUGAACAUAAGGCUGAAGCUGCAAUGUCUGUAACCUAAUCUCAGAAGAAGCGUACCAUGCCUUCACUUUUGCCUUAUUCUAUUGGUCACCCAGGCCAAGCCUGGUACGAUGAGGGAGGGAAUUAUACAACAUUGCGAACAUCAGGGGAAGAAAUCAUCCAGUGCCAUCUUGGAGGCUGGCUACCACACCACCUCAGUCAAUCUCCACCACUCCCACCCCCUCCCCCUAUGAUGGAAAUCAUGGCUCAGAUUUCUUUCACCAUAGAUUCAACUUGCCUAUUCUAGGACUUCAUAUAAACAAAAACAAAUAUCCAGUACUCUUUUUUGCAUGCUUUCUUUUACUUAGCAUAACCUUCCUGAGGUGUCUCCAUGUUGUUAUGGAUUUCAAGUAGCUCAUUCAUAUUUAUUGCUGAGUAAUAGUUCAUUUUAUGGAUUUCUAUCAGUUUGUUCCUUUGUUCCCCUGUUGAUAAAGUUUGAAUUGGUUCUAAUUUAGGGCCACUAUGAAAAAAGGCAGCUAAAAAUAUUCUUGUACAAGUUCAUUUGUGAAUAUAUGCUCUCAUUUCUCUUGAGUACACACCUAGAAAUGGAACUAUGGGGUCAUAGGGAACAUAUGUAUUUUGGAUAUACCUUUUAUUCUGGAUAAAAGAACUUUGUCAAAUAUAAAUUCUGGUGAAUAUUUUUCCUGUUCUGUAGUUUGCCUAUCCAUUUUCUUUUUAAAAAAAUAUUUUUAAAUUUAUUUAUUUGACAAAAAGAGAGAAAGUAAGUGAGUGCACAAGCAGAGGGGAACAGCAGAGGGAGGGAGAGGGAGAAGCAGACUCCCUGCUGAGCAGGGAGCAAGAUGCAGGGCUUGAUCCCAGGACCCCAAGAUCAUGACCUGAGCCAAAGGCAGUUGCUUAACUGAUGGAGCCACCCAGGCACCCUGCCUAUCCAUUUUCUUAAUGCUGUCUUCCUGUUUGAGCAGAAGUUUGUUUGUUUGUUUGUUUGUUUUUUUUUGUUUGUUUGUUUGUUUGUUUGUUUGUUUGUUUGUUAUCUGCUGGAUCCAAAUGGUUCUCUAAUUGUGGGCACAACUAAGCUAGAUAGGUCUGUGAGUACAGAUCUAUGAACUGGAUCUUAAAGGGUACAGGAGAGGCCAAGUCGGCUGCCCCAAUAAGGGAUGAAGGUAUUUUGGCAGCACUUUCCCAAUUCCAGGCUCAUUUGGCUAGGGCUCUACCAUUUAUGGGAAAGACCCAGAGAUCCAAAUACCUCCUAGAGACUCUGCAGACAGGUAAAGGCUCUCAACACAGGCCACCCAUUUCACCCCAGGUGCUCCCCAGCUCACAUUUGAGCCCUUAGCAUGGAUAUGUCAUGGGGACACCUGGACAAGGCUGACAGAGAUGUCGCCAUACUCAAGGUCACCCCAAUGUGACAUGAAAACAGUGAUGAGGAUGAGGAGUACACCAAAUCCUCUUCCCUGUAUACUUAACCUUGAGUCUAUACUUUAAAUUUGCUUUUACUGAGUUGGCAGUAAAAUCAAAUUCAGUGAGGAGCCCUCUUCCUCAUUUGUUCCAAUAUUUGAACCUGUUUCCAGACUUGAAUCCUCUUAUGGAAAGUGGUGCUUUUGUCUCAUUGUUGUAUUUGUCCAUUACUACAGCAGUAACUUUCUGUUUAAUACAUAGGUGUAUUUAAUAGGGAAGAUAAAUUUUAGAGUCAAGUCUCUAGGUUUCAUUUUUUAAAGUCUUUAUAUUUAAAAAUAAAAUAAAUAAAGUCUUUAGUAUUUUGAUGUGG
ensembl:lncRNA